CUAACCUAGUCUCAGGAGUCC
rnacentral:siRNA from 1 species